rnacentral:rRNA from 1 species
GGGGGGGGGGGGGGGGGGGGGGGGGGGGGGGAGGGGGGGGGGGGGGGGGGGCGGGGGGGUGUGGAUGGCGGGUAGUCGGGUGGCGAACGGGUGGGUAACGCGUGAGUGGUCUGGCCCCAACUUGGGUAUAAGCCUGGGCAACUGUGUCUCGUUCCCGAUAUGACUGCAGGGUGGUGCCUGUGGUGGGACACGCGUUUCUAGUGGUUGGGGCUGCGCUCGCGGCCUAUCAGCUUGUUGGGGGGGUCAUGGCCUACCAAGGCGGCGACGGGUAGCCGGACUGAGAGGGUGGACGGCCACAUUGGGACGGAGUGACGGGCCAGACUCCUACGGGAGGCAGCAGGGGGGAAGAGUGCAGAAUGGGCGGAAGCCUGAUGCAGCGACGCCGCGUGGGGGAUGAAGGCCUUCGGGGUGGAAACUCCUUUCGACCGCGAGGAAGCCACCUGGUUGGAAGGGUGGUGACGGUAGUGGUAGAAGAAGCACCGGCUAACUACGUG